GGCAAGGUGUAAUGGUUUGCAUGUAGGACUAAGACUCUGGAGACUGGGGUUCGAGUCUCCGCAUGGCCA